UUGAUAAAAAAAAAAACCCAAACGCCAAAAUCAAAAAGUCGGAGACUUCGAUUGUGUAACGUAGUCCACCACCAUCAAAGCUAUUAAAAGCUUCAACUCAUCCAUACUCUUCAUCUCUCUCCCGAAUCCAAAUCUCCUCUGGUAGCUUCCAUGGAUGAGAAACAGUCAGAUUUCCAGAUCCAAAGCUUUGAAUAAAUCUAGCACCAAAGCUCCAGCAAUAUCAACAAGCGCAUCCAUGUCUAAGAAUCCAGCAAAAUCACCACUAAAGCUCCAACUGUUUCGACCACCAGUUCCAUGGAUGAGAAAAAAGGGGUUGAUUGGCUCCAUCUACAGCUUCGAAUCCUGCAAAAAGAAAGAUCCUCAUAGGGCUUGAUCUGUUAUUUAGGGCAAAGAGGUCCCUAAAGAAAAGCCGUGUGGAUUGUGUCGAUUUCUUCAUCAGAAGUUUCUAUGGAUCCGUAAAAACCCAUUUGAUACAGCCUGGUGAUGUCUGUUUUAGAGAGAGUUUGCUUCCAGUCCUUCUUGCUACGAACAACUAGAAGAUUGUUGCUAUAUAAAUUUUUAAAAGUUAUUAACAUACAUAAAAUAAAGCCACUUUGUUUCACCAGAAAGACGGCCAACAGUUAAUCAACGAGGUUAGUGAUGGACUUUUGAUAAUGUUUGGCGAGCUAUACUUUGUCUUUAAGAAUGGAAAUUUUACCAGCUUAUGAAGGGUUGGCAAAAAUAAUUUCUGUUGAAGAUGAUAUCAGAACAUGGUGCUUUCAAGCCUUUCAAAGCAAUUCUUACAUGUGUUAGAUACACAUCAACCGCGAUCUUAAGCCAGGUGAUUGAUAGCCUUGAGGUCACCCUAACAAUCAUCAGCAUGGUCACUUGAUACAAAACUUCAGACAUCCAUUAUCAAGAUUGACAGUUUUGAUUUUAACCACUAGGUCUCUCUAACAAUCGUGAGGAGGUUAAUUCAAGUCCAUGUUUAAAUAGUAUGUUGUUAUAUGCUGGUAGAGGGCAGCUGAAGUACUUCUACAGUCCUAUCUGUACACAUUAAAAGUUGGUUAGUAUCAGAACUGUGGUACUCCAUCAGGUACAUCUUUAUUACGAUGAGGAGAAGAUCGGGAGUGGUGGUGGUGAUGACAUGGCAAUGGAGGUUGGAAAAGGUGAGGUUGAGGUGGCGAAGGAGGUGCCGGGAUGUGUGGCUAGGGCGGAGGUUGAUCCUCGCUUGAUCAGUCCUCCUUGAGUUGCUAGGACAAGGGAGAAAGUGUUGGGGCGAAUUUGAGAAGGGAGUGAAACUUUGGGGGUUUGAUUUUUAAUUUGAGUUUGUGACAUUUUAACAUUGUACCCCAAAAUAAACAGAAAAAUAUCUCUAAGAGAUCGCAGAAGAAGAAAACAAAAUCAUGAUCGACCUCGGAGAAGAAGAAGAGAAUAAUCAAUGGCGGCUGCUUCCAAUGGGAGUGAGUAUUUGGACAUCGACGUCGAGACGGGAAGAAAAUCGUUCGCGCGGCCGUUGAAUGCUGAGACAGUGGAGCAGGAUGAAGAAGAUCUGAGAUGGGCUGCGAUGGGACGGUUACCGUCGCAGAGACAAGGGAGCCAUUUAGCGACUCUGCGUCGGUCGCAAACUUCUGGUUAAGCAGACGGGAACGUCGUGCAGACGAUUGACGUAAGGAAGCUUGAUCGUUCGGAUCGUGAGAUGGUUGUUCGUCAAGCUCUUGCCACUAGCGAUCAGGAUAAUUACAAGCUUCUCUCCGCUAUCAAGAAACGACUCGAUAGCGUGUUUUGAGCAGUUUGAGAAUGAUGAAGACUAGAAAACACAAGCUAACCAUAUGAGUCAUAUAGCUGACUCACACAAGAAUGGAAGUUGGAACCAUGAAAAAUGAUGGGUUUGAGGACUGUUUUGCUUUCACUCUAAUAUUUUUGCCUUUCAUCAAACAUACUUUUAUAUGUUCUAGGUGUUCUACCUUAUCCUGUACAAAGUUGUUUUGACUUUAUUUGUUCCAGGUUCACUCAUUAAAAUGGAUUUAGUCUUCCUUCACAUCUUGGUUGUUAUACUGCUGGAUCUGCUCCAAGUGCUCCCGUCGCUGAGAAUCAACCCUCUCCUCGAAGACAUUAUGGCUGAUGAAAUGCCAGCAGUCCCAAGAUGACUUUUUUAUCUCCCGGUGGCUUUAUAUAAAUGAUUGCAAACAAGUUAAAAAUUUAAUUUAUAAGCUGUAAUAGUUAAUUGGAAAUAGGUUUGUUACUUCAUUGUCACUGGAUAAAUUUGAUAGGCAAAAAGAAGUGUCCACCCCCACAGCCCCACUAACUAAAAUGUAAAUUCGUAUAAAUGAAAAAACAACCAUGGAAAAUAUGUAUUCAUGGUAAAGUUAAUUAUUUUCUA